rnacentral:rRNA from 1 species
AGUGAACGCUGGCGGCGUGCUUAACACAUGCAAGUCGAACGAGAACGGAAUAUAGCUUGCUAUAUUUGUCAGCUAAGUGGCGCACGGGUGAGUAAUGUAUAGAUAACCUGCCCUUAAGAAAGGAAUAACAGUUGGAAACGACUGCUAAUGCCCUAUAUGCCUUUAAUACAUAAGUAUGCAAGGGAAACGCUUUAGUGCUUAAGGAUGGGUCUGUAUGGUAUCAGCUUGUUGGUGAGGUAAUGGCUCACCAAGGCUAUGACGCCUAACUGGUUUGAGAGGAUGAUCAGUCACACUGGAACUGAGACACGGUCCAGACUCCUACGGGGGGCAGCAGUGGGGAAUAUUGCACAAUGGACGAAAGUCUGAUGCAGCAACGCCGCGUGGAGGAUGACACAUUUCGGUGCGUAAACUCCUUUUAUAUAGGGAGAUAAUGACGGUACUAUAUGAAUAAGCACCGGCUAACUCCGUGCCAGCAGCCGCCGUAA